GACGGAACUGUGUCAGUAUUCCACGUCAUUCACCCUGCAUGGUUGUUCGGCGCUGCUACAGAUCCCCGGCUGUCGGACCCGCGUAGCUCCCUAACAUAGAGCGACCGCCACGAAGCUUUCCGAGCGGCGUGAUUGCCCGAGCUGUCUCCUUCACGGCGAG